AUACGGAGGGGGCUAGCGUUGUUCGGAAUUACUGGGCGUAAAGGGCGUGUAGGCGGAUCGAUCAGUCGAAUGUGAAAGCCCUCGGCUUAACCGGGGAAGUGCAUACGAAACUGUCGGGCUGGAGUAUGGGAGAGGAUUGCGGAAUUCCCGGUGUAGAGGUGAAAUUCGUAGAUAUCGGGAGGAACACCAGUGGCGAAGGCGGCAAUCUGGACCAAUACUGACGCUGAGGUGCGAAAGCGUGGGGAGCAAACAGGAUUAGAAACCCCGGUAGUCC
rnacentral:rRNA from 1 species